CGGGUUAUGAAUGAACAUUUUGGUGGUGUCUGUCUCAGGGUUUGCUGGAUCUUGAUGGCUGGUGCUGUGAUCAAGG